rnacentral:rRNA from 1 species
CGGUAGGGCUUCACACGUCAUACAAUGGUCGGUACAGAGGUUGCCAAGCCGCGAGGUGGAGCCAAAUCCCUUAAAGCCGAUCGUAGUCCGGAUCGUAGUCUGCAACUCGACUACGUGAAGUCGGAAUCGCUAGUAAUCGCAGAUCAGCAUGCUGCGGUGAAUACGUUCCCGGGUCUU